GUUUCUUCUCCAACAACUAGAGAGUUCUGGCGAUGGCGAUUGAUGGACACAAACUAGAAAAUUCUAAGUUUAUCUACAAACUAAAACCAAAGUAGGAGAUUAUGGAACUUGAAUACUCUUGUGUACAUCUUAAUAGAAAAGAAGGUUGCAACUGAUGAGCUCAUCAAGGGGCGGUUAUUUAGACUGUCCAAUGAUCCGAGUUAUGUUGACAGUUCUACGGCAGGAGUUACAUGAAAUGAAACAAGCUAUUGCGGAGUCUGAGAAAUCUCAAAUUCAAAAAAAAAAACAAUACUUGCAGUUGUGUCCCCUGGAGAUGCAUGCAGCAGACUGAUGGGCAUCAAGUCUAUGAAAGAAACUGGAGGAAUUAUCUCAUCAAAUUGAAGAGUCAGGUACCCAGUAAUAACGAUAUGGACUACAGUUUCAACCAGUACAUAUCGAUAUGUACUUAAGGAUUAUACAAAAUAUACAGUUGCAAAGAAGAAUAUAGGUGGAUAACCACAAGAAAUCAUGUUGCAUGUAUAAAUUUCCCUCUCUCUGUUUUCAGCUUGAUUUUUUUUGUCUGGCGAAGUUUUAUAAUUCUGAACAUGGGGAUUAUACACCUUAUACUAUAGCUUUAGUGUAUUCUUUCUUCAUGUAGAGAAGUUGAAUCUGUAAUAUUGAGUUUAUACUAAUGUAGAGAAGUCGAAUAUGUAAUAUUGAGUUUAUAUUAAUG